rnacentral:piRNA from 1 species
UGUAAACAAUGUGGUAAAGCCUUUGCA